UACAGAGGGUGCGAGCGUUAAUCGGAGUUACUGGGCGUAAAGGGCGCGUAGGCGGUUAGUUAAGAUUGUUGUGAAAUCCCUGGGCUUAACCUAGGAACUGCAACGAUGACUGGCUAGCUAGAGUACUGUAGAGGGUAGUGGAAUUUCCGGUGUAGCGGUGAAAUGCGUAGAGAUCGGAAGGAACACCAGUGGCGAAGGCGGCUACCUGGACAGAUACUGACGCUGAUGCGCGAGAGCGUGGGGAGCAAACAGG
rnacentral:rRNA from 1 species